CCUACGGGAGGCUGCAGUAGGGAAUCUUCCACAAUGGGCGCAAGCCUGAUGGAGCAACACCGCGUGAGUGAAGAAGGGUUUCGGCUCGUAAAGCUCUGUUGUUGGAGAAGAACGAGCGUGAGAGUAACUGUUCAUGCAGUGACGGUAUCCAACCAGAAAGUCACGGCUAACUACGUGCCAGCAGCCGCGGUAAUCCGUAGGUGGCAAGCGUUAUCCGGAUUUAUUGGGCGUAAAGCGAGCGCAGGCGGUUGCUUAGGUCUGAUGUGAAAGCCUUCGGCUUAACCGAAGAAGUGCAUCGGAAACCGGGCGACUUGAGUGCAGAAGAGGACAGUGGAACUCCAUGUGUAGCGGUGAAAUGCGUAGAUAUAUGGAAGAACACCAGUGGCGAAGGCGGCUGUCUGGUCUGCAACUGACGCUGAGGCUCGAAAGCAUGGGUAGCGAACAGGAUUAGAUACCCUUGUAGUC
rnacentral:rRNA from 1 species